AUACUUAGCCAGUAGGAGAGAUACCAUGAUCAGGAAGGCGGUUCACCCAGGGCGAGGCUUCUCCAUUACACUCAGGUAGGCUGAGCUCUGUGAUUUCCGCCAAAUGUGGGAAACUUGACUGCAAAAUUUGUGGUAGUGGCAGGCAGCAUUCACGCUUUCCCCUA